GCCGAAGUGGCGGAAUGGUAGACGCACAUGACUCAAAAUCAUGCGACCGAAAGGUCAUGAGGGUUCAAGUCCCUCCUUCGGCA
rnacentral:tRNA from 2 species